AACGAACGCUGGCGGCAGGCUUAACACAUGCAAGUCGAGCGCCCCGCAAGGGGAGCGGCAGACGGGAGAGUAACGCGUGGGAAUCUACCCAUCUCUACGGAAUAACGCAUGGAAACGUGUGCUAAUACCGUAUACGUCCUUCGGGAGAAAGAUUUAUCGGAGAUGGAUGAGCCCGCGUUGGAUUAGCUAGUUGGUGGGGUAAAGGCCUACCAAGGCGACGAUCCAUAGCUGGUCUGGGAGGAUGAUCAGCCACACUCGGACUGAGACACGGCCCAGACUCCUACGGGAGGCAGCAGUGGGGAAUAUUGGACAAUGGGCGCAAGCCUGGUCCAGCCAUGCCGCGUGAGUGAUGAAGGCCCUAGGGUUGUAAAGCUCUUUCACCGGUGAAGAUAAUGACGGUAACCGGAGAAGAAGCCCCGGCUAACUUCGUGCCAGCAGCCGCGGUAACAC
rnacentral:rRNA from 1 species